GGCUUUGUGCAGUGGCAGUAUUAUAGCCAAUGAGAUUUAUCCAAGGCACAAUUACUGCUAAUUGAAACUUUUCCCAAUACCCCCCCAUGAUGACUUGCAACAAACACAGUUGGCACUGGCAAUUUUUGACAGUCUCUACAGAGA